GCCUGCCCAGUGAAAAUUUAACGGCCGCGGUACCCUAACCGUGCAAAGGUAGCAUAAUCAUUUGUCUAUUAAUUGUAGACCAGUAUGAAAGGCAAAAUGAGAGCCCAACUGUCUCUUAUAAUAAAUCAAUUAAACUGAUCUCCUAGUACAAAAGCUAGAAUAAUAACAUAAGACCAGAAGACCCUGUGAAGCUUUAACUAACCUAUUAAACCCAAUAAUAGCUAUUUUCGGUUGGGGCGACCUUGGAAUAAAAAAGAACUUCCAAUAUAUGACUUACUCAUAAAACAGGCAAACAAGCCGACACUAGACCCAGCACAGCUGAUAAUUGAAACAAGUUACUCCAGGGAUAACAGCGCUAUCUUCUUCAAGAGCCCAUAUCAAAAAGAAGGUUUACGACCUCGAUGUUGGAUCAGGACACCCCAGUAAUGCAACCGUUACUAAAGGUUCGUUUGUUCAACGAUUAAUAGUCCUACGUGAUCU
rnacentral:rRNA from 1 species